rnacentral:rRNA from 1 species
GAUUGAACGCUGGCGGCAGGCCUAACACAUGCAAGUCGAACGGUAGCACAGAGGAGCUUGCUCCUUGGGUGACGAGUGGCGGACGGGUGAGUAAUGUCUGGGAAACUGCCCGAUGGAGGGGGAUAACUACUGGAAACGGUAGCUAAUACCGCAUAACGUCGCAAGACCAAAGAGGGGGACCUUCGGGCCUCUUGCCAUCGGAUGUGCCCAGAUGGGAUUAGCUAGUAGGUGGGGUAACGGCUCACCUAGGCGACGAUCCCUAGCUGGUCUGAGAGGAUGACCAGCCACACUGGAACUGAGACACGGUCCAGACUCCUACGGGAGGCAGCAGUGGGGAAUAUUGCACAAUGGGCGCAAGCCUGAUGCAGCCAUGCCGCGUGUAUGAAGAAGGCCUUCGGGUUGUAAAGUACUUUCAGCGAGGAGGAAGGUGUUGAGGUUAAUAACCUCAGCAAUUGACGUUACUCGCAGAAGAAGCACCGGYUAACUCC